AAGUGGAUUGCUGUUCUUUGUGUGCUGUUGAAUCCUAUUGCAGGAGUUGAGCCGCUUUCUGUGGAGAGAUAGGUGUAUUCCAAAGUCAGGCCGCAGAUGGCUUGCAUCUUUAACACGGGAAUUGAUGCAUAUACUUGGUGCAAAUUAAAAAUGCGGUCUAAAAAUAUUGUGAGGACUCCCCAUGUUUUACUUUGAGGUCCAUAGGCAAAUGAACUUGUUACGUAGGCCUGAAAGGUUGGCAAAUACAUUUUCCAGGUAUUUUUUAAAAAAUUUCAGUAUUUGCUGGAUGGGAAGUGAAAAAUGUAUGUUUUCCAAUCCUAGCUCUUUUCUUUAAGGAAUGCAACUCCUAUUACUGUUUAGUUGAGCUUCUCAUAUUUUCAAAACAAUUCAGUGCUAGUUCCCAUGGCUUGUUCUUGUAUGCUACAGCGUAAAUUUAGCCAUGGCAUCUAACCCAAUGAACAAAUUAACAGUUAAAAGUUGUUGGUCAUUUAAGGGUGUUGGUUUGUUCCGUUUGGAAAUGUUUCCCUUUUUCUAUUCGUAGUCCUGGAUAGAUAGGAUUUUUUUCUUUUUACCUCCACAGUAGCAACCUGAUAAAAAAGCUUGACCAUUUCACAAACGUGCUGUUUGAGAAUUGGAAUGAAAGUAACUGAGUGUAUGACUAAUAGAGAAGAUUUGUGUAUAAUAGCUGCUUUUUAAUAUGUGUUACAUAAGUAAUAUGGUGAGGUGGAGUUCAGUUAUAUAAGAACUGACUGGGGACUUGGGAGCUACUGUAAGUAGUUCAUAUUGGUCGCAUAUAUGGCCUGCAGGGCAUCCCUGUGUUGUGGGAGGAGGGGUAGAAAAACAGGAUUGGAAGCAUCUAACAGCACUACAUUUUUCCUUUGUAGGUUUAUAGAGGAUACCAGGAAAGAAAGGGAGAAGGCAGUAAUUAGGAAUUACUAUGUAGCUUUCAAACGUCUGUAGUCUCAUUUGAGCUUAGGUUUUAGGGUGUAAACUCUGUUUUCUAAAAGAGCAGUCUCCCCUCUUUUGAGUGUCAGAAGGUGUCUGCCAGCUGAGCAUUGUGCCAACUGACUUCUGUGCGGGCUAUAAAGAGCAAGAUUCUUGUGUCCUAGAGAUUGUGAGGCUGUGCCUAUUUUUUUGUUACCAAAAAAAAAAAAAAAGCUUACUGAAAAUGGUGUUAGGACGAGGCAGUUGGUUUGUUGAUCAAACAUUAAAAUGACUGGAUUACUGAUUCUUCUUGUGUAGGCAUCAUAUGACACAAGGUAAAUACUCCUUUGUAAUGGAAGCUUCCAGAGAGGCUUUCAGUGUACAGUGAUUCUUUUAACAGAGCACUGAUUUAUGUGGGACUUGACAUUGUGAAUCUGCAAUGUGUUGCAGAUAUGUUAAAGGGAGAACAUUAAUUUCAACUAAAGAUGAGGGGAAAAAACAUUUUAUUAGUACUUGCAUUUAGGCAUGUGUUCUGUAAUUAUGAAACAGUAAUUGCUUGUCUCAGUGUGAAGGAAUUGUUUGAAUGCUUAUGUUAUAGAAUAGUUUAUGUAGAAAAUCAGCUAGAAUUUUAAUUCUUAAAGCAGCCUUUUAAGUAACUCACUUUGAUAACAGAUUUUGCUUGAAAACCAAGAAAUGAAUUACUUUAAAAGUUCACUGUGUAACUCGUAGCUUAUUGCAGCAGUACUUGAACAGAGGUGUGGCUUUGCUUUUAUGAAGCUAUAGAAAUGAAGGCAAGUUUUAAUGAGCUGGUUUCUUGUUUUUUUGCAAGGUUGUUUUUAUUAGCAGUUCUCAGGAAAGCAGUUAUCUUGAAAGAAGCAGUAGCUCUGGUAGUGUUGCAGUGCAGUCUCAAAACUGUCAUACGUAUUCUGAAUUAUUUGUGCUGGAGGAGAUAAGUAAAAACAAAAUGUGUGUAUUUCUUUGAGACAGGGCAUUUGUCCUACAGCUGUUCUGAUGGAAGCUGUUGUAAUCUCGAAGGGAAGGAAGAAAAGGGCUGUAGGAGAGGGAGACUGGGUAAAAAAUGGUGUGUAGUUUACAUUUAUGGUAGCUUACCAGGGAAACAAGCAAUUUCUACAGAACUGCAAUUUGCUCCUUAACGAGGCUACUUCAGUGGGCUGGCUGCUCUCCAGCACUUAAGACUUGUGGCUCUAACCUGCCCUGGUAGCCUGUCUGUGCACGCAUGUGUGGCCUGAGCCCUUGCUAAGACCUGUUAUUUAAACAGUUGUUUACCUUUAGCCAUACAAAGGGACUGACAGGAGUUCAAGGGUAUUUAGGGGAGAAAGGAGAGAGAUACUAACAGUGUAAUAGAUCUGACUAUGCAUUAAUGUCAUGGUUGAGACAGUUAAAAGUGCUCAUGCUGAAAGAUGAUCCUGCACUUUUUCAGCUGUUCAUUCUUGCUUCUGCAAGUGAUCAUGGGGGAAGUAGAAGUGAAGAAUGGAUGAAACAUAAGCCUAAUAGUAAUGGAUGGUUUUCUAAUGUGACUCUUCAUUGUGUGGCUUGACAAACGUUCCUGUUUGAAUGGGAGCAGAAUGAAGCACCUGCUGGGAAAAUGGAGAUAUGCAGGUUUUAAUUGUGAGUGAAGUUAGGUAUGCUUUUUCUCAGGAAAGCUGCAGUUUUUAAGGAGUUUUGAGGGGCAUCUCUUAAAGGCUUUUGGCUAGUGUAACUAGAAUCACUGAGCCAGGCACUCAAAAAAAAAAUUCUAAACUUUGAGUUUAUAAGUCAUUGCUAGAUUGACCUUCAGUUGCAGGUAGCAAGAGCACUCCAGCUUCACUGAAUUGGUACCUGUAAAAUUAAGUAAAGUGUUAUGCUCAGCUACAGGCUAGUUAAGUGUUUAUAGGAUUUGAGAUUUAGGUUUAUUUUGUUGGAACAAGCUAAAACUUGAAAUAAGCCUGCUUCAUCCAGAAGUGGCUGAUAAUCUAAUAACUGGGAUAUUCAGUGAAGAAUUAUUCCUACAGGAUGAGUACUUAGCUAAUCAUAAAAAGUGAUUCCUGUGGGUCGCUAGUAGUCACUAGCCAAAUGAAUUUGCACGAGGAAAAGGAGUUCUAGUGACUGGCAGCUGAUCACUUUAUCCACCUGGAUUUGGACAGACUGUGUUCAAUGCUGAAACAGCAGCAGGACAGGAACUUCCAUUGGACAUUGCUUUAGGCUUUGUGUUGCAAUGAAUCUUUCUGAAAAAGUUUCUGAGAUUAGUAAGGUUUUGCUUUAGCAGGAAAAUAGGUUAUUGGCUGGUUAUACAAUUCUUAACAGUUCCUCACUUAAAGAAGCAACCUUAAAGCUGUGAUGUGGCCUCCUAAUCCUGGAAUUAGUGGGAAUUUGUACCAGGUUCACUGCUGUGACCUCUGUGUAGUAAGUGGGGCACUGGUUUGUUUUCUGCUCCAGCAUGACCUUGUUAUUUGGAGUCUUUCUGAUGAGCUACUAGUUGCUUUGGAGAGCAGUGUUAAGGUCCAAGUAGCUACUUUCAGAAGUGAGGUUAUGCUCAGACAUGAUUAUAAUGCAGCACUAGCCCUGAAAUGCUGUUAAUAGCAGUUAUUUGAUGAAAAUAACCAGUGAUUGAAUGGCUCAUAGGCAGUUUAUGCAAUAUGGUGCUUUUUGGAAGAAAAUGGGGGACAAUACUGCCAGUUUGGAGACUUGGACUGUGCCAGAGUUGGGAAAUUACUGAACCAGAGACUCUGGCAUCCCAUAAGUACGGCUGAAGGUGGUCCUGUCACAGAAGGCAAGAUUUUGUGUUCCUUGUAAGCUCAGAAACCAAGCAAAUCUUAGCUGCUGUUUUUUUUUGUGCUUAUUAAGUGUGGGGAAAAGAAACUGUACCAAAACUUCUUGCUGUGACUGCUCCAUCUGUGAGCUUGUUAAUGUGGCAUGGUCAUGCAGUAGAUGUUACUCAAAAGUAGAAAUGCAGCAGCUUUAUUGCAGCAGUAUAUCUUGUCUCUUCAAAGGUUUAGCUUGUGGAGACUGCUGCAGUCCUACUCAGUGUGAUCUGUUACGACGUAAAACAGAAAUACUCAACGGGCUGAGGGAGCUGGGGCUUUUCAACACAGAAAAGAGCAGGAGAGACCUUAUUACAGCCUUCCUGUGUUUAAAGGUAGCUUAUGAAAAACAGAGUGACUUUUUAUAUGGGCAGGUAGUGAUAGGAGAUGGGUUUAAACUAAAAGAUGAGCGAUUUAGAUUGGAUGUUAGGAAGGGGUGCUUAGAGGAUAGUGAGGUAUUGGAAUAGGUUGUCCAGAGAAGUUGUGGAUGUCCCUUUUCUGAAAGUGCUCAGGUGCAGAUUGGAUGGGGCCCUGAACAGCCUGGUCAAGUAGAGAUGUCCAUGCCCAUGGCAGGAGCUAGGAACUUGAUGAUCUUGAAAGUGCCUUCCAACCCAAACCAUUCUAUGGUGUCUGACUGUUGAAGGUGCGCUAAGAAUACCUUUUUGACGCUGAGUAUCACUGGUUAUAGUAAUGGAUUUGUUUCCAGCAAACUUCAGUAGGUUGGUAAAUAGUGAAUAAUUUGUUUUCGUAUUUCUGUUUAGUAUUUUAUUGACAAAGCUAGUAUCUUUUCUGUCCAGUUGGCUGUCGUAUAUGGAUUUUUUGAUAACUGUUUGAUCCAUUGCUAAUACAGCUGCUAUAGACGAACCAAAUACAAGUCCAAAACUAGCUUGUGUGGCAGAUUUGAGGUGUUAAAACUAGUGUGGAGGGCACAAGAACUUAAGCUGAAGAGGUAGCUGGGAAACAAGCAUUAGCAUCUAGUUCUUGUGCUAAACUCCCUCCUUCCACCUUCCUGCCUUUACUUAGCAGGUUAGUCAUGACAUGGGACUGUCAUGAUUCCCUGAAUUUUAGUGAAGUAAGGUAAAAAAAUUUGGAGGUACAGAACUGUGCCACUUUUUUAAUAAUCCCUCAAAGAGACUGUGGCUGGUUGUGAUAUUGAGAUAGUAAUUUAAUCUCUAGCCUAAGAAGUGCUUUACCAGCUUUAUUCCCUGGUACGUGCUAAGCAGUGGUUGUGCCACUUCAUUUUGGCCCACUGUGUUUGUGGCCCAGUUUGUCAGGCUGAUGAUAGUUUGUGCAGUAUGGUCUUUUCUGUUGAGCCAGGGUAAGCUGGCUGUCUCAAAUUCCAUCCAGAACAACUAUGGGUCUUCUAAUUAGAGAUGUAUUAAAUAGUACUGAAUGUCAUUGUCACAAAUAUCCUGGUUUAGAAGACUACUCUUCAUAAAACAAAACUAUUGCUUUUAUCAGAGUGGUGCUACUUCAAAUUCAUCUUCAAAGCUGUGCUCCCUUACUCCAGCAUACAUAUGCUGGAACAAGCUCAUAAGCUUAUAAAGACAUGCUGGGCAGUUGUCAGAUCCUAUUUUUAAACUGUUUCUGAGAAACACUUCUGCUUCCCUAUCUCUGCAUAGUCAUAGGAAAGGCUGUACUUCAUGCAGGAGCCGUAAUGUCUGGGCUCAGCUAACAGUAAUUUUUGGACUUGAGUAUCUCCUCUUCAGAGAUAGUAAAAUUGAACUGCACUGAUUGCUGUUGCAGAGGGGAAAUAGGAUCACUAGGAAAUAGUGGCAGUGGGCUAUCGACUCCUUGACUUCUAGCUACAAACAAUAAAAGAUUGUACAGAUAUCUUCACUCCUGUGACCAGUGACAGGGCUGGAGGAAAUGGCAUGAAGCUGAGGCAGGGGAACUGUAGGUUGGAUAUCAGGAUAAAGUUUUUCACCCAGAGAGUGGUUGAGCACUAGAAUGGGCUCCCCCAGGGAAGUGAUCAUUGCUUAAUCUGCUACUGAUCUGCAGUAGCCACUUUCUAUAAUUGUGUGACACUACUGUAUGCCACCUUUACAUUUUCACUAACAUUGGAAAACUGCAUAAAAAUGCAACUGGGUUCUGUAGGCAACUAAUAUUUUAAGACUUUUUCUCCCUGUGUCUAACAUUGCCUUCUUUAGUCUAGGCUUAAGUACAGACACUAAGUAUAGGUGUUCCUGUAGUCCUAUGGUGGAGAGGGAAUUCCAGAAUUGAAGGACUACUUCAGAGAACUUCAUGUAGUUUGGGUCCAAAAAUGAGGAAUACCAAUCAAGCAUUUAGACUUGAUUAUGUUCGUCUCUUAAAACUGGCAGGCAGGGAUAUUUCAUACUAAGGAAACUACUAUGAACAGGAAGAAAAAAAUCAUGCUCCUGUAAAAUGAAUUAUACAGUGCAAAAUUAACAUACUGAGUUCUGUGUGUCUUAGAACUCUUUCAAGGCACUCCUGGGACCCUGCAAUUGCUAGUGUAGACCUAAUUGAUGGGAAGGAAUAGUAAUUUCAAAGUAUUAUUAGGACUGAUGCCUGAGGGCUGUAGCCAAGCCUACUCUACAUCUAGGAGUUGACAGUGCAGGGUCUUCCGAUUUCUUUUUUUCUAGAAUAGGCAAGCCCUUAUUCCACACUUUCCACAGAUUGUGUGCUACAAAUAUUAGUGGCCUUGUAAGUGCAACUGUUAGUUAAAUUAGUUUGUCUUGUCUUGUGUUUCAGUGAUAUGAUUACAUAAUAAUCCUGUUCCCCUUUCUGUUAACUACUUCAAUUUACUUAAACCAAGGAGAAGAGCAGUUACCUAAAUUUUGCCUUGUAGGCCGAGUGUUUCUGCUUAAAGGAAGGAGAGGAACUUAACAUUGGACCUGUUUUAAGCUCAUCCUACAAUGAGCAAAGCAGGGUGGUGUUUUGGAUAUGAUAGGGUAUGAUACCUUUAGUCUGUUUGCUUAAACGUGCCCUUUAAUUUCAGUAAUGUAAUGACAGUGAAAUGGGCUAUAGAACUGUUAACUCACUUAAAACAAACCUCAUCAAUUCCACAUAUUUCUGUAACCUAACAAGAAUAUGCUCAUAUACUUUCUGUUCAGUGUAGUGGCUGUGCCUUAUGCUUCAAAUUUCGCCUGUGACUGUUCCUCACAACCUUCCAGUGUGGUUGUAGGUAGCAUAUUACAACUUAGAGGUAUUGAGCUGUCUACAAAUGCUCCUUAUAUAUAGAAGUGACUUGCUGAAAGGUGCUUCUGUGUGUCUGUAGAUGCUGCAUUAAGCUUAGAUUUUUUUUUUUCCUGUAGCCCACCUAUUUCUUGCUCUGUGUGCUUCUUCUUUUUGCUUGAAUAGCAUUGAGCAAGAUUUGUAUACUGAUUGCACUCAGUAAAAGUAAGCUCUACAUUCCGUUUUGGAUGUGUGUAUUAAUAUGUGUAGAACAUCUGUUGCAUCUUUUUAGAAACAGCGCGUUGCAGUCUUGGAUCACAUUUCAAAUCUGAAGCCUUUAAGGGUUAUCUGAAGUAACAGUUUAUGUAGUGGGGUUUUCUUACAUGGUGCAAGAAUGAGUAGUGUUUUAGUAUUGGUAUUAGCCUUCUGCAUCAUCAGUCCCUACUAUAGAAGUAGAUCAGCAAAGAGGAAAGGAAAAACUGAACUGGGUGUCCAAAAAAAGCAGGUCCAGUAGACUUUUUUCUUCGUGUGCUUCUGAGUGUCUUGGUUGAAUCUGAAUUUUGGAUGUGCCCAGUUGGCACUGGAGUGAAGGAGAGAGUUUUUUUACUACUGAGAAGCACUUCUGCUGUAGUUCAUAAGCUGAAAUACUGCUCUGUUUGUCAUAUCAUAAAUAAAGAUGAGAUAUUUCAUUAAGUUCAUUCUGUUACGUGAGUCUAAUGUAAGCGUUUAUUUUAAUAUGUAUUUGAGUCCCAUUAAACAGUAGCAUGUCUGGCAUGUGAUACUUUUUUGAAACUCCUUUAGCUUUGAUUCUCAACUGGAAAUGUUUGAAUGGGGAUUCCUGAUCUUUCUGGCUGUUCCAAUGAAAAAUAAGAAUUUAAUAUAUUCUUCUGUAAGUAGUAGGUAUAUACACAGUGUGCACCCAAGGUCCAUUUAGCCUGUUUAGCUGUUUCUCAGCACAGGGAAGUUAACCAGUGAAAGUGUGAAAUACCAAUAUAUGUGAAUGACUGUGCUUAGGAUUACAGAUGGCCAAAGGGAGGAUGAUGGAGGCCUCUACCAGUAACUGCCACUCUUUAGAGGGGUGGGUAAAACCAAAAAGUGUAUUCCUGAUGUUAACCAGAGAACAGUUGCUAUAACAGUAUUUUUAUCAGCAUUUUUAGGUUCUCUAAGCUGUUGUUCACUUAGUAUUUUAAAAAAGGGAACUGAAAAAAGCUCGAAAUUGAAUACAUCAUCAGUGGAGGGGUUGCCCCUAACUGCAGCAACAAGAUGGAUUGUAAGAAGGAAACCUGACUGAAAUCUGUCUUUGUUGGAAAAUAAGCAGGCCUAACCUGUAGUUCUUGUACAGUGUGCAACUUUCAAGUAGCUCAAGGCUAUGUAUGUCUGUCAUCUACUGAUCAUAGAAAUUAUGAAAACAGAGACAUUGUAUGCAACUAUGGAAUUCUGAAAUACCAGUUUAGAGGGGAUCUGCAUGUAAGUAACAUUCUUAUUUCAAGCAGUUGUGCUACAUCUUACAUCACAUGAUUCCUAGCUGUUGUGCAGCAGGAAAGGUUAGCCUUUUCCAAUUCUUCCUCUGGAGCUUGUGGAGGGAAACGCAGAUUGGACUUGUAUUUAACUAUAACUUCCUUCCCUCUGGGAACUCAUGUCUGAACUACUACGGAUUUCUGGCCAUGUGGCAUAUUUUGAUUUCCUGCCCAUAUGUGAAAUUUGAGUAAGCUUUGGCGUCUCAGGGUAGAGAGGGUGACUGGGAGACUUCUUUCUGUGGAAGUAGAAAGUCAUUCCAUGAUUGUCUCCUUCCCCAGCUUUCUGCAUGUGUACAACUAGGUAUACUCUGUAUGCCAUUGUCACCUAGUAGUAUGUAUAAGCUGGCAGUAUAGCAUGUAAGAUUUAAGCUUUCCUAUUAUUAAACUUAAGAACUCUUUCAAAACUUUCAGUACUUUUGCUGUAUCUGAAUGAAAUUGUUACUUUUGAUUGUCAAAAGAAAAUGCUGGACUGAAGGCUAACUCAAAGGAUGGCAGUUUUACGCCUAAGUUUUCACCUGCCAAACAGAGUGCUGAAAUCAGCCUGCAGGUUUUCCAUGUAGUGAACAGAUUGUGAGAAGUGCAUAAAGAAAUCAUGGAUAUUGGCUGAAGAAUGAGGGAUUGUGGUACAGAAAGGAAGGUGCUUAUCUUUAACUAGAUACACGUUUUACUUUGAAUCUGGUUUUGGAACUAGGUGUUCACGCCCAGUUUUCUUCUGUAGCUUUUUGAAAGGGAAGAAUUUCUAGAAACCAAAUCAGCCACCUUUUUAAAUGCAGGAGAACUGGAGUAAGGAAGCCUGUGAGCAUGCAUGCCUCCAAAAUCCUGCAAAUGUUCUUUCACUUACAUUUGUCUGAAUUGCAUAAUCAGUCUUGUGUUUUACAAUGCUCAAUUACUAGGAAUUUAAUUUCCAUGUUUAUAGAUAAUGUUUUCUAUCUAUUUUGUAAUGUAUGCAUUUUGUAAUGUCAAUUUUGUCAUGGUGUUUAGCUUCAUUUUUUUCCCCGCAACACUGUACUCAACUUUAUUAUUGAGGUGUUUAUUUCAUUUGCUUUCUAAUGUGAAAAGAAGCUCCGCUAAACCUGCAGAUUUUUCAAGACAGAGCAAGAGGUGCUUGAAGAGGGGAAGCUAGUGCUCAAGUUCACAAAUCAAAAUAGGCUUGUAGUUACAGCUUAACUGACGGGCAGGAAAAAAGCUGUAGUUCAAGAACACAGCUGGCAACAGGCUCAUGUCUGCCCCCAGAAAAGUAAACUUUUCUGCCACAAUCUCCAGAUCUGUUUGGAUAAUGAUAAAAAGAUACUUGGCAAAAUGCGAGAAUUCUGUGACUGUUUGCCCAAAGUAUAAAUAUUUCAGGCUUUGAGUGCUUGUGUGGCUUACAUGUUGCAGAAAGACUGUCUUAAGUUAUUUUUAGGUUGGGGGAGCAGGAAGAGUACUUGCUUCCUGUCUUCCCCUCCCCCAGGAACUUUGGGUACAUUAAUGAGAAGAAAUAUAGCAACCCCUGAGUUGGUUUACCAGAUCCUAUUGUACAAGGUCAGUACAUUUCCUGACCUGCUUUGUGGAAGGAGUAGUACAGCCACUUAGUGUGCUCCCUUUUGAACCAGCACAAAGGCAUAGAGAGUUUCAACUGAAACAAGUCCACAGUUUACUUGAUAGUUGCAUAUGAAUAGUCUCCAAAACAAUGAGUACUAAAGCUUAUAACUAGAAUUAGUCCUCUAGUUGCUGUUAUGUCAACUUUGAUGCUAUGCACAAGCAUGACUAACUUGAGAAAUCAGUGAAACUGAAUACUCUCCUUCCUCUUAGCUAUUGUAACAUUAAUAUAUUUAGGCAAUAAUCAUUAAUGUCUUCACAUCAGCUGUUGUUUCUCUUCUACAUAGCUACAGAUUCAUCCUACUUGUAGGUGUUGGUACAUAUCCAUGCUAUAAAACAAAGGAACGUGAUAACUUGGUAACGGUACUUGUCCAGUUCAAGGUAUACCAGACUGCUUUACUUAGCAGUUCAGAGGUUUUUUGUUACUUUGAUCCAUAGUGGCAUAAAAAUAGCUGUAGCAGUGCCUUGGAUUUUUUCCUAACCGGGAGAGGGGCAUAAAAAAAGCCGUAGCAGUGCCUUGGAUUUUUUCCUGACAGGGAGAGGCAAAAAAUGCAUUUGGUCCUGGUUACUGUAAAAAUUGUGUAAGACAAUAUAAUUGCUUCUUUUCCUGUUGCAUGAGUAUUGGCAGCAGUACACAGGUUAACACAGGUGUUAACUUUGGGAGAAAAAGUGUCUGGGCCUAUUGUAUGGAUCUUGUUGUUUGCCAUCAGUGUGCACAUGCACUUCAUAAAAGUGAUCACUCUUUCUGACAAAAGCCAGUCUGCAGCAAUCCACAAGAAGUACAGAGCUUCUUGGCACUGUGCAGCGUGUGCAGAACAGGCUUAGAAUCACUCAGGCAAGAAGCAAAAAAAUACUAGCUUUGGCAUGCAGAAGUGUCCCCAUGUGUGGAGCCAGGAUAGAAACACCAGGCUUGUCCUAGCAUGCUCCUCCAGCAGCUACACAGAAGUGUAGCUACACUACUAUGCAGAGCUGUGCUUUUUUUUUCCAGACUUCUGUGUGUUUUCCACUUAGUUAGCAAUGGUAGUUAUGCUGUCUUUGGGGAUAUUGGGUUUGCAGUUAGGUCUAGGGUUUUGUUUCAUUUAAAAUUAAGGUGUUAGGAAACUGAACAGCUCUUGCUGCUUACUUUGAUCCUUCUUGCUGAAGCAAAAAUUUCGUACUGGUAUUAGCUGCCUUGGGAAACAAACCGUGUAUGAGAGGGAACCAGCUGAGAAUGCAAUUUUUGGUAUCUUGAAUUCUGGAGAAAAUGGAGUGUCUGCUUACAGAGGCUUGCAACCUCUUGCAUCACUAAUUAGGCAUGAGCAGUCAUAUCUUCAUCUGAUGUCUGAAUUAAACUUACUCAGUUAAAAAGGUAUAGCAGAGUAUGUUUACUAGUGAGAAAGUUAAGCAAUUCCAGUUGGCUUCAAAUAUAUUUUUAACUUUUAGAUGGAAAAUCAAGAAUUUUGCUGCUAGUUAAACUUUUUUGUCAGUAGUUCUCUGGACUUGUGCAGUUUGCUCUGCAGGGGAUUUCCAUUUUUUUUAACAGUUUUAUUCAAUGCAAAAUUAAUAAUAAACUGAAAAUUUUGUGAACACUUAGCUAGUUAAAUAUUGGUAGGAGUAUCCCUAUAAAAAGAUGAAAAGGAACCUUUUUUAUUAAACAGUAUAUAAAUAUAAGCUGAAGUGGUGAGUCAUAUGAAAGAUGGGCAUAACUCAAUAUCCACUGCUUUCAGUCAGUAGUUCUGCAUGCUGCAGCCAAAUUCUUUGUGGGUAUUGAAUAGUCUGAACAUAAGGAGGGCUGGUGCCUUCUCCUGUUGUUCUUGAUGGAGUUGUAGAUAGUAGAAUUGAGGCUGCAAGGUGAAUCACCUUCCAAUUCUCGGUUUGAUGCUUUAGAAUAAAGCCUUUUGCUGCUUAUUUGGGAACUCACCAAAAAACUUGUCCAAGUUGUGAACCUUUCAUGGGAAGAUGUGUGGGGGCUGGGGUAAGGGGUGUGGUUUUAAGAAGCUUGUGUUUCAAAAUAAGCCUUUCACAAUUCCUGCUUCUGGUCAGAUUGUACAUACUUCACAUGUGUGAAACAUGUGACUUAGCUAGGUAUAAUGUAGCCUGUUAGCAUGUAUCUGUUGGAGGCUGAGGAUAACAUUAUCUGGGUCUAGAAGACUGGGCUAACUUCUUCGUAUAGUGGUCACCCUGAGCUGCUCUAAUUGUGCAUGAGCGUGUAUUACUGGUAGUUAUUUCUAACUGCACCAACAUCUGAGAAGAAAGGAAAGAAGAAAGCCCAUGGUUACAGCUUUCUGGUGGUGUUGAAGAAUCAAUAAUAGGAUGCAAGUGAUAGAUUGAUAUAUAAUACACACAGUAAAGCUAAAGGGAGUGCAUUAAGAUGAAAUUAGGGAUUUCCAGUUAGGAAGAUGGAACAGAAAACUAGAGGAAAGGGACUAGAGAAAUUGGUGAGGUGAGAUGAUAUCAAGAAGAAAAGUGUGGUGAGCUAAUCCAAGAGUAAGAGAAGCUCCUAUGGUGAAGGGAGCCAUUUUUAGAAAUAGUGAAAGAACAGGAAGGCUUACAUGAGAACCUGCUGAAAGUUAAUGUCUGUUAGCUAAUGAUACCUGUCAUCAGCGAGUCGGUACAGAAGUCUGGAAUCAAGGCAUGGCCAAAAACAGCACUGAGACAGCUGAUGGUGUUUUCAGCUUGGCCUGUGGGCUGGAGGAGGAGUCAUGGACCUCUGGUGAAAGUACACUAAAGGAAGACUUGCUGAAAUCUGAAGAAACAGGCUCAGUCACUCAAACUACCUACAGUGGUUCCAGAAUUUGUAAUGUGGACAGGAUAAGGAUUUUUUCUGUGCAGUUAAUGCUGUGCUUUUUUUGCUGGUUUCUCAAGGGAAAAGACUCAACAUGUUGAAUCACAGAGAUGUUACUUCCUGCUGGGUUUUGGGAUUUCCUUGCAGCUCUCUCUCCUCCAUGGCUGCAGGAGCUGUUUUUGCAUAGUGCAUGUUCUAAGGCAGGAACUUGCUGGAGAUGAAGACAGAAGCCAACCAGUUCUGUGCUGAAUGUAAUAGUUUCUGACUCAAAUUGUGUGGUAAUUAUCAGAAUAUCAUAGGGUGUUGUAGGAACUGCUGUGUUGAACAUAGUUGAGGAUUUCUUCUUUCAUAAUUUGCCUAAAUGAGUAUAAAAUGCUAAUCUGAAUUAACAUAUGAAAGUGAGGGGAAAGAUUUCUUGAUAUUUUCUAGCCACUUGAAACCUGAUUGUGUAAAAAAAUAAAUUUCAGUAUGCUGAAGUAUUCAUGGGUUUUUUUCCCCACUUGCUCAAUCUUAACUCCCAUUCUUUCUGAUUUCCCACAGAAAGAAAAGCAACUUGCUGUAGCUUCAAAAUAUUAACAAAAUACUGUGAGCACUGGAAAUAUGAUAGAGUUUCAUAUUACUAUUAGUUUCACUAGGAAUUAAAAACAUGUAAUUCUGGAAAUUAUGGUAGUAAAUUGAUAUCAAGUAUUUUAACAUACAUACCUGCUUCAUACAGCUUGCUUUCCUCACAGAAGAGAAGUAUUCCCAGCAGCUUGUUGCAGUACUGAGUUUAAGCGUCAAGUCUAAGAUUGAUAUGUUUACUGUGAAGGCAAGCUUUGAGAAUUCAUAUGAACUCUACUUCUUCAGCAGUUGUUUUUUAUAAACCAGGUCUUGCAGCUCCAAGAGGCAAACAGGAAAGGGAUGGAGGGGUGGUAGUCAAAUUUUCAGGCAGAUCAACUCUGGUUGGAGUUAAGCUCUCUGAAUGUGGAAUAGUGUCAAACAGUGCAACUCUCCUGUAUCCUUUUUCUUCAAAAAUGGCUUCAGGUAUGCUGUCUUUUUACUUUGCAGUGCUAGAGGAGAGUUCUGGAUGAAGCCAUUUCUCUUGUGUUUUAGCAUCUGCUGUAUGGUGUCCAGUACUGAUUCAGCAAACAGCUCCAUUUGGUGGACUGUCCUCUGGUGGUGUUUGGAGAAAAGGGAAAGAGUUGCUCUCUGAAUGAGUAUCUAAAAUAUGGGACUUCAGAGGACUGCAUGACGUUGUUAAAGCUAAUGACUUAGAGCAUCUAGAAAAGCCACUUCGCAGGAUAAUUCUUCCCAGCUCAUUCCAUGAUAAUGUCUCCAGUGCUUUUGAGUUUUUGUCUCUGGGCUCUAAUGAUCCUAGGGUAUGAACUGUCAUGUAAAGCACUGUCAGAAGUGCAACUUCUGACAUAAUUUUAAAUAAGUGAAUCUUCCAUCCCUAGAUGUAGUUCUUGCUGGAUUUAAAAAAGGCUAUAUAUUUUAAUUAGGUACGGUCUGUGUGCCUAAUUUGAUGUAAAAAAUGCUUGAAAAAAUAGUAUUAAUGAAAAUUUUCCUUAAUGGUGAAUGACAGACAUGUAAGCUACUGUUAGACUCUGUGUGUGUGACUGACUGUUUGUUAAAGGAAAAGCAUGUUUUCAGAGUGUGGUUUUUGGACUUCCAGACAGAUUACACAAACUCAAGGAGGCCCAGCCCACAUCCUGUGUAGAAAACCAGCUCACAGAAAUGCUCAUUGUUCUUCAGGGUUAUAAGUCACUGUGUUUUGUGCCUCCCUUCUAUUUCAAAAUAUUGUAUGGAAAAUACUAAUGCAAAGGAACCACAGCUGAACAAGUGCUUGGUCCUGCCAGGUACUGAGCGCUGUGCUCUUACCAGAAGGCUGGGGACUGGGAUUAAAACAUUAGGCUCCCUGGCUAGAGAACAAAGAGUUUGUGUUAGUAAAAGUAGCUGAGAGUAUUUAUCAGGUGAGUAAAUCAAUUGAUAAUUGACAUACUUCCAACCUGAAAGUUGUUUGUGUGCAGCCAUGCCAGUAUUUACUGUCUUGGAGUGGGAGUUACCGGAUAUGAAGUUUUCUUCAGGCAGGGUGAGUUCUCCACGACACUGAUUCACCUCUGCUCAGUCUUCACUGCAGAAAGAGAGAAUGUGGGGUGUCCAGAUCUGAUAGCCCACCAGAAAGUGGUUAGUGUUUCUGAACUCUACCCAUGCUUAUUGCUGGGUUGUGUUUUUCAACCUGCAAGCUAAUGGACCUAUCCAUGAAGGGAGCUAUCAAGUCAAAAACACUAAACACUCUUCCCUUUUUUGAAUGUACAUUAUCAUCUUGGAGGUUAUUUUUUAAAAACUGAAGUGCUUUCAUUUUUAAAUUUUAAACAGGAAUAGUGUUCCAAUGUUAAUUUUAAGCCACUUUUAUUAUGUUUUUCUUUCUUCAAAAAAACAACAGCUUAUAUUUUUUGCUAGCGUUCAGUACCCAUUUAAGACUAAAGUAUUUGUUAUGAUAAUACAGAUGUAGCUAAGCAGAAGGCUGCCAUGAGAGUGUUUGAGGUCGUGCUCUGCUUUUCUACAGUCCUCUGACAGGAAUCACUUCCCUUUAGUCUCUGCCAGUCUCCUGACUGUGCAGCAUUUCCAAAACAUGUGGAGCAUAAAAUGGGAUUAUAGGGGAGGCAUUCAAGUAAACAGAAGUUCCCUUGGGAUGAGAUUUGCUUUUUCAUGCAGAGCUCCUUGUGUACUGUAGCCUGGCACUGGAGUGAAUUCUCUUGGUGACCCCAAGGGUGGGAGAGCACCCAGGCCAUUCUUAUGUUUUGGGGAUAGUGUCUCCUGGCUGGCACAAUGAAGUCCCCCUUUGCAGUGUUUUUGGAAGGACACACCCAAGUGCAAGUUUCUUUCUGUGUCUCUUCAGUGUGUCUGUGUAACAAUAAAUGACCAGUCUCAUGAUGCAGCUAUAGCUGCCAGAAUUCUGCAGUGAACAUACAGCUGUAUCAGUCAUUAAUUGCACAGUAUUGCUGAAGCAGCCCAAUGCUUUUGUGAGUUGUGUUCAAGGGUAAGUAGCUCCUUAAAGAUAAAAUCCUUUGUGCUUCCAUAGAAGCAUACAGUUACAUUGGUGGAUAAUAUUGUAUUUCUGCGAUGGCAUGGUCCUGUUCAGCCUGUUCUGUUGAAAGUAUACAACCUGGGCAGGCUCGGUCUGCAGUUUGAGUACUUAGGAGUUCUUUGUUGAGACUAAAUUGUGUUGGUCUCAGCAGGGAACAUUUCCAGACCAUCCAUCCUGGCCUAAAUAAGUCAGGCUGUCAUUGUUGCUCCACAGGAUGAUGCUGUGUGGGAUAUCAGGGCACAAAGCCUUCAGACUUGUGUUCAUUUCACUGUAGCUAUGUUUCAUGUUUUGAAAGAACUUGCCACAGAUGGAUGUUGUCCUUCUAUCUCUCCAUUGGCUGCUAGUCACCAGAAGAAUGAUUCAGUCAGUAGUGUUCCCCUUAUCAUAGACUCAUAGAAUGGUCUGCAUUGAAAGGGAUCUUAAAGAUAGCUAAUUCUGCUCCCUGCCAUGGACUGGGACACCUUCCCCUAAACCACAUUACUCAGGGCCCCAUCCAGCCUGUCCUUGCACACUUCGAGAGGUGGGACAUUUGCAGCUUCUAUGGACAACCUGUUCUAGUGUUUCACCACUCUCACACAGUUUAGAUUAGGUAUCAGUAUUUCUUCCUGAUACCUAAUCUAAACUUGCCCUCUUUCAGAUUGAAGCCCUUGUCCUAUCACUACAUGCCCUUGUAGGAAGUCCCUCUCUGGUUUUUCUGUAGGGUCCCUUUGUAUACUGGAAGACUCCUUGUUGCCAGUAGCAAGGCUUCGGAUGCUGGUGGCCUUGUCUUGGCUUCCUGGAGGUGCUGCUCUACCACAGCAUGGCUGCUUUUGUGCAGGGGGAAAGCUGCAAUUGCAAAUACUCUCCUUAAAACAGCAGGAAUUCAUAAAUUCCCUUAGGUGGCUGUAUUCCAGACCUGGCCUGUGUUCAUGAUGUCCCUGAUGUGCUACUGGGUAUUAGUGAGGAAUAUGAUAAGAGAUACCUCCAGACUGGAAGACUUGGUCAGCACAGCCUUAUUUGUACUGACUUUACCUUUCUUUAGAGGCGACUCUGAACAGAAACUGUUAAAUUUCUUGUAAUUGUAAAGCUUUGAACCAAUAGCAGCAGUGAGAAUUUUCAGUUAUCUGAAGACAUGUAUACAUCAGAAAUUCUUGGGUUUUUUUUCUGCACCUGGUACAAAGACGUAGAACAGCCCUGGGAACAGGCAAGACAACCCAGUUGCUGCUGCUGUCAAAAGCAGCAGAUCCAAUCAUUUGUGUACCUCCUAUUGUAACCAAAGCAAAGAAUUAUUUGGUAUGGGUUCUAAAUCGAGAGUCGCUAUUCUUGUUUGGUUUCUUUUUAAAGCCUUUACAAUGGGGAGCAUGCUUACAAAAUUUGAGAGGUAAAUUUGGGGCUUGUAUCUCACACCACAGGUGGUUGCACUCAGGAGCAUUGUCAUUGUCACAGCUGUACACAGCUUUUGUUUCUAGAGGGUCAGAUUUUCUGCCCUCAUCUACAGGUGGGGUAUAAAUGAGAGAAAGGUUGACUUAAUUUGAUGGCAGACUGUUGGUAAGAGUAGUGGUUAUUUGAAGACUGCUUAAUCCUAUUACAGGUUGGGAUUUUUUUUGAAAGUCUGAUUUACGGGUGUAUUUUGUACUGGAGCCCAUUUAAGAGCUGGGUCUGAAUAAAUCUGUCAUUUGCUACAUCUCCAUUGGUGUUUUCAUCAUAUCUUAACUGAGAGUUAAACAGGGUUACUAAAUAAAAUUUUCUGAAGGUUAAGGAGAUUAAUAUUUUUAAUACCUGCAGGUUUUAGGAAAACAUGCUGAAUUAUAUAGGGAAGUACCAACUUAUUUAAUAACUGUAUUUUUCUAAUAAAUAUAGAUGAUAUAACUGCAGGGAACUGAAAAUGUCGUGUCAAUAACAGUAGCACCUGCUUGUAUUUCAUUUAAUUUGUGUGUGGGAUUGUUUAUGUUGUAGAAAAUGGCAGUUUAUGAGCCAGCUUUUGAGGGGAAUGAUACGUUGCCAAGGCUGCAAUAUUUUGUAUUAUUCUGUACGGGCUCUGUAUCAUAACUCAGAGUAUUUGAGAGCUUCCUUCCCUUUGCAGUCCAUCUGCUUAGCACUGCUGACAGGAAGGUGAAGUUGCAGUGAGCUGGGUCAGCAGGAGAAAUCUCACUUUCCUUACAGUGUUUGAUGCCCGUGUAGCUUUAUGACUGACUUGUUACAGAGUCGGGUAGGUGUCAGUGCAAGGGAAGGGGCAAUCUCCUGAUUUGACAGCAGUUGGCAAUCCGAUUGGCUUUAUGGUUUCAUGAAGUCCUGUCUGUAAGUUAUGCCCACAUCUGUAACUAUCUGGAAAUCCAUGGUUGUUGAAGGCUUUGCUUUCCUGCUGCCAAGUGCCACCCGUCUCUUGAGCACUGCCGCUGUUGGUCAGCUGCUUGACAAAAAGGUAGGUAGGGGAAACAGACUCGGUUGGCUGUGAGCUUCUAGGAUCUGCUGGUUAGAGAUUUCUAGGACUGAUGGAGAGAAAACUGCUUAACACAUCAGGUUCAAAUGGGCCUGUGUGUUCACAUUACAGGAUGAAAUACGUGACUCUAAAGAAGUAUUAGCUCAGACCUGGGCAACUGCAAUGUUCUGGAAAAUAAAGGAAUCCACAUAGUAGAAAGACACAUACAGGAAUGGCUUGCCAAGACAGUUGGUAAUGCACUAUUACCAACUGUA